UAAUACAGAGGGUGCAAGCGUUAAUCGGAAUUACUGGGCGUAAAGCGCGCGUAGGUGGUUCGUUAAGUUGGAUGUGAAAUCCCCGGGCUCAACCUGGGAACUGCAUUCAAAACUGUCGAGCUAGAGUAUGGUAGAGGGUGGUGGAAUUUCCUGUGUAGCGGUGAAAUGCGUAGAUAUAGGAAGGAACACCAGUGGCGAAGGCGACCACCUGGACUGAUACUGACACUGAGGUGCGAAAGCGUGGGGAGCAAACAGGAUUA
rnacentral:rRNA from 1 species